GUAGGGAAUAUUGGGCAAUGGAUGGAAGUCUGACCCAGCCAUGCCGCGUGCCGGAUGAAGGCGCUCUGCGUUGUAAACGGCUUUUAUUCGGGAAGAAGAGUAGGGAUGCGUCCUUAUGUGACGGUACCGAAUGAAUAAGCACCGGCUAACUCCGUGCCAGCAGCCGCGGUAAUACGGAGGGUGCGAGCGUUGUCCGGAUUUAUUGGGUCUAAAGGGUGCGUAGGUGGCUUAAUAAGUAAGUGGUGAAAUACGGUUGCUUAGCAAUCUAGGUGCCAAUGAUACUGUUAGGCUUGAAAUAAUUGGAGGCUGCCGGAAUGGAUGGUGUAGCGGUGAAAUGCAUAGAUAUCAUCCAGAACACCGAUUGCGAAAGCAGGUUGCUACGAUUUAUUUGACACUGAUGCACGAAAGCAUGGUGAGCAAACAGGAUUAGAAACCCUAGUAGUCC
rnacentral:rRNA from 1 species